ACAUAUUUUUGGUCUUCCUGACUUUGAUUUUUUUAUGGAUUAAGUACUGUGCUGAAGGAAACUGUUCUAUAUUUCCUUAUAAAUAAUCGGAUUCAUGAAUAUCAAAUUCAGUGGAGCAUGCAAGAUAAAGUUGUACACACGCGUAAACAAUUGAAGUCAUAGUUGUUGCAAGUUUUGGACAGAAUGGAUCUCUUGAUGAUAUGCUGCUGUGUGUUUCUCCUGACAGUAAGUCCCGCGUAUUCCAAACCCAGGAUUGUGGACCUUACCCAUAAUCAGGACGAGCAUUCUGUCACCUGGCCCAUCAACCCUGCCUAUAACUUCACCGUGCUUCACCGAGGAUAUUCGAAAAUGUUCGAUGGCUGGCUUGAAAACAACUAUUUUGCCAUGCCAGAGCACAUGGGGACUCACAUUGACGCACCGGUUCAUUUUGCAAAGGGUAGUUGGAGAACCCAUCAAAUUCCGAUGGAAAAAUUGUACGGACCAGGAGUCAUUAUAAAUGUCAAAUCUAAGGUUGAGAACAAUCCGGAUUACAGAGUUUCAACCGAUGAUUUAUAUGCAUGGGAGGAAAAAUACGGAGAAAUCCCCAGACAUGCUGUGGUUGUGAUGAACUCGGGUUGGUCUCACAAAUAUCCAGACCCAAAGCUUGUCUACGGAACCUCUCAACCGAAUGAUUCCUCAACGUUUCAUUUCCCUAGCUGGCACGAGGAAGCCGUCACGUGGUUAAUAACCAAACGACAGGUCAACGCCGUUGGUGUCGACACUCCUUCUACGGACUAUGGACAAACCAAGACAUUUCCCUGCCACAUCAUAUUGGGAGAACAUAAUAUAGUGGGAAUAGAACACGUAGCGAAUCUGGACAACAUUCCAGAAAGUGGCAGCGUCGUCUAUAUACCCGUUAUUAAGAUAUUUGACGGAAGCGGUGGACCAACUCGACUUUUCGGAACAUACGACGACGAACUGAACAAAACAAAUUAUGCCAUGCAUGUCAUGAGUGCCUCAGUCUACAUCUACCUCUUGCAAAUAAUUACAAUCUUCGUUUAUCAAUUUGGAAUAUAACUCAAUGUUCCACUGACCCCUGUAUGCUUAAAAAUAAUUCACAUAUUUGAAAUGCGAUGUUAUUUUGUAAAAGUUUAACAAAGCGGAACGGUUUUCACUGAACGUUUGUAUGUAUCAUGUACAUGUAUAUUAUUCAUGCAUAUUUCGUAUUAUUCAGCAAAUAUUUCGAUUUCCUUAGUUAAACUCAAAUGCCAAUUUUAUUCAUUCAUUCAGAUGUCUUAUAAGCAUUUUUCUUGCAUAGAAUAGUAACUAAGAAAAGUAUUUCAAGCUACUUUAUAAACAGAUUGCUGCUAAUAUCGAGAGGACGACUAAUAUACAUAUAAUAAGCGAUCAAUAUACAGUACAUGUAGAUCAAUCGUUGGUUCAGUGGUUAAAGUGUUCACAUCGUGACCGGAAGGUCGUGGAUUCGAACCAUGAGGUCGUGGGUCUUUCUAACGAGACCUAAAAAACCGAGUUCCCGCCGCAGGCGUUGGCAUGAUAAAGAACUAUAAAUUGAGGUAGUCCUGAGCGCCAUGCAAACGUCUUCCUCCUCACCUGAUGAUGUCACAGCAAGAAAGAAAUAUUUUCAAUGGGACAUUCAUUUAAAAACAAAACUAUUAAUAACUAACAAAGAAAACCGUGACCGUACAAAACAUGCCUGUAAAUUUUGAUUACUUUCAAUUCAAAGGGCUUUAUACAACAAUUAGUCAAUUUCUGCAUUCACGCUAGAAAGUAUCACAGUCUUCGACCUUAACAUGACUAGUUGGUGUGAGCUGCUAGACACGAUUAAGCUGUUUCUGAAGUUCCAUACUCAUUAUAGACAAGUAUAUCUGGUAAUCCCCGAGGAGGGGUGUAAUAACGCAACAUCAUUAUCUAUGAAAUGAAAUUAAUAUCUAGUUAUUUCAUAUGAUAGAUGAAGUUCGACUGUUUAAACAAAAACGGCUUACCAAGAGCGUAAACUGCUUAACUCACAUUAUAUCAUAUGUCCAGGGAUCCGUGUUUGCCCAACUAUCUAUUUUGUAUUGCUUAUAGGAGUUAUGAGAUUGAUCACUGUUCGUUAUCUUCACCUUGCAUACAAUGAACAGAAGUCACUUCCGUUCCUCACCACUUUAUAAAUAAUUACUUCGGAAAAGUCGAUUAUCGUAUGAUGCAUUAACAAAUUGCAAAUGGUGGAACUUAAGUUCAUGUACAUGUAUAACAUCAGAUUUAGUUUUACGGAAUUUCAUUUUAUCAGCGAAAUUGUGUAAUCGUGAAUUAAACGCACUUUUUAAAAAUAUUCUGGCUCACUCUCUUUUUAAGCUAAAGUGCUAUUUUAAAAAAAAAAACCAGUGGAUCAGUUUAUCGCAGCGUCAUAGUCUCUAGUGCAGAUACUAGGCCUAUGGGUGUUUUCUUUUCAUUAUAUUUUUUCUUUUUCGCUGUUGACACGUAUCUUUAUAUAAAUAUGUAUCCAUUUAUUUACAUUUUAUAACCCUCGUUCCUGUGCUUUAAGUAUUAAAAAAAAAACAAUAUGGUCUGUAUUUUACAUGUACUUAUGUGUUAGUAUCAUUGUUUUAAUCAUAACACCAGUUAGCUUCCAUAUUCAAAAUGCUGUGAUUAUCUGCAAUAAAUCAACCAUACAUUU